rnacentral:rRNA from 1 species
AAUACAUCGGAACGUGUCCUGGAGUGGGGGAUAGCCCGSCGAAAGCCGGAUUAAUACCGCAUACGCUCUAUGGAGGAAAGCGGGGGAUCGCAAGACCUCGCGCUCAAGGGGCGGCCGAUGGCGGAUUAGCUUGUUGGUGGGGUAAAGGCCUACCAAGGCGACGAUCCGUAGCUGGUCUGAGAGGACGACCAGCCACACUGGGACUGAGACACGGCCCAGACUCCUACGGGAGGCAGCAGUGGGGAAUUUUGGACAAUGGGGGCAACCCUGAUCCAGCAAUGCCGCGUGUGUGAAGAAGGCCUUCGGGUUGUAAAGCACUUUUGUCCGGAAAGAAAUCAUCCUGUCGAAUAAACGGGGUGGAUGACGGUACCGGAAGAAUAAGCACCGGCUAACUACGUGCCAGCAGCCGCGGUAAUACGUAGGGUGCGAGCGUUAAUCGGAAUUACUGGGCGUAAAGCGUGCGCAGGCGGUGCUGUAAGACCGAUGUGAAAUCCCCGGGCUUAACCUGGGAACUGCAUUGGUGACUGCAGCGCUGGAGUAUGGCAGAGGGGGGUGGAAUUCCACGUGUAGCAGUGAAAUGCGUAGAGAUGUGGAGGAACACCGAUGGCGAAGGCAGCCCCCUGGGCCAAUACUGACGCUCAUGCACGAA